rnacentral:rRNA from 1 species
UACGUAGGGUGCGAGCGUUGUCCGGAAUUAUUGGGCGUAAAGAGCUCGUAGGCGGCUUGUCGCGUCGGUUGUGAAAGCCCGGGGGCUUAACCCCCGGGUCUGCAUUCGAUACGGGCAGGCUUGAGUGUGGUAGGGGAGAUCGGAAUUCCUGGUGUAGCGGUGAAAUGCGUAGAUAUCAAGAGGAACGACCUGCGGCGAAGGCGGGUUGCUGGGCCGACACUGACGCUGAGGCGCGAAAGCCAGGGAGCGAACGGG